GGCAACUAGGGGCGAUAGAACCAGGAAGUUAAGCAUGCUCGGGCUGAAGCAGUGAAAGGAUGGGUGACCGACCGAGAAGUUAGACGAUUUGAAAUGAGUAAUCUACGCUAGAGCGGUGAUGAUGGGUGAUUAGAGAUUAAAUUGUCAAAUAAAUCAAAGAUUUAAAAAUUGAAAUAAAACAUAAAAACAAAUCAAAGAAUAUUCAAAAAUAAAUAAAAA
rnacentral:lncRNA from 1 species